ensembl:lncRNA novel transcript, antisense to PELI1
CAAACAUUCUUGAGGCCCAGUGUACUUUCAGCUGUGUGUGUUAAUGAAAUUAACUCUGCAAAAAGCGCUGUGGAGAACCUGGGUUUUAAUCUAGGGUUUUGCAAGUUCAUGCACCUGGCAGUGGCCUAAGGCGCAGAAGGACCAAACUGAGCGUACCUCCUCAUUUCCUUGAGUCACCUGUUUCACUUCUAAACCAAUGACUCUCAAAUUUGAGGGAGGAUCAGACUCACCUGGAGGCUGGGCCCCACCCCUAGAGUUUCUGAUUCAGCGGGUCUGGGGUGGGACCUGAGAAUUUGCAUUUCCGACAAGUUCCCAGUGAUGCCGCCGCUGCUGCUGGUCCAGGCACCACAGUUCAAGACCCACAGACGGAACUGGCCUCCUGUCAGUUUCUGAAUCGCCCCCGUGGCCGUGGAUCCACCCACAGCCUUCAUCUCUGCCUUGGGCUCUUGCUUCCUUCACUGCCUGUCUCCACGUGGAUCCCAGGCCUCCCUGGGAGCUCCCAGCUGGGAGGUGUCAAGCACUGCAGUAGAUUCUGAAGAUACAAAAAUAAAUAAAACAUUCCUGCCCUCAAGACACUUACACUCUUAUGUGUAACACUGUGUGACCAUUCAUCUGGGCCUUCCUGAGACAGUCUUGGUUUACACCUGUUUUCCCAAUCAGAGCAUCACUGCCUUUCCCACUAUUCUCCUGCAGAAGAGCAGGGGAAGGAAGCACCAGGGUCCAUCAUGGAGUUGUGACAACUGAGAUUCAGAGAUGUCCAAUCUACUCACAUAAAUAGCCUGGUUGAAGAUGGCUGAGCGUAAAACAGAAUGCAAGUCAGCUGGAGCACGUACUACUGGAGGCAGAGCCCCAUGAGAAGGGGCCAAGAACCCGCACCCAUCAAAAUCAAGAAGAAAGGCUGAACCCGGAGAGAAAAGGGAGCAACUGAUGUUGCCAUGCAGAUCCCUUGGUUGCUAUGAGAUGGUAACAUCACUCUGCCCCACCAUUGGCCAGUGCCUCCUCAGCUGCGGUGCCUCCCAGGCUGUGUGGUUCUCACGCGGGCCACUGACACAGAGCUGUUACUAUGGUGAACUUUACAAUUUCCUUUGAUUGGUGGAUUUCAGAAAUAGGCCAUCAGCGGAAUUCAUUAUAUUCAGCUAAGUAAAAAUGAAAAAUAAAUACUAUAACUUUCCCCUCAUCACUAACAUGAAGGAAACGUGACCCUUCAUGACAUAAUAAAUCGCUGUUCGGUAACUUAGGAUCCUUCAGGGGACUGAAGCGGGAUGAUCCUCCUAUGCCAAAUUUGGGUGGGAAAGAUAUUCCCUGUAGCUUUGAGUCGACUCUUCAGAGUUAAGGGCAGUGGGCCAACCAGAGUUGGAACUUCAGAGUUGGGAGGAGGUGUGGGAUGGGGCAUGCAUUGAAAUGUAAACUCUAUUGUCUCUGAAGUGAUGGGUGAUGCUGGGGGCCUGAGUGUGGAGGGCAGUUUUACAUCUCAGGACAAUGUUUUCUCAGAUGCUCUUCCAGAAAGAAAAGCCAGGAGUACUCCUGGCUGGAGGCGGCAUGCCUGAGGUCAGAGUCAAAGUAGGGUUUGUGCUGUCUGAAUCCUUUCUCCCACUCUCCCCAGCCUGGCUCAGCUUCUCAGCUUCUCAGGUGGAUUGGCCUCUGAGCCCAAGCCAAGCCAUCGCAUCCCCUGUGACUUGCCCGUAUAUAUGCCCAGAUGGCCUGAAGUAACUGAAGAAUCACAAAAGAAGUGAAUAUGCCUUGCCCCACCUUGACUGAUGACAUUCCACCACAAAAGAAGUGUAAAUGGCCGGUCCUUGCCUUAACUGAUGACAUUACCUUGUGAAAGUCCUUUUCCUGGCUCAUCCUGGCUCAAAAAGCACCCCCACUGAGCAUCUUGCGACUCCCACUCCUGCCCACUGAGCACCUUGUGACCCCCACUCCUGCCUGCCAGAGAACAAACCCCCUUUGACUGUAAUUUUCCUUUACCUACCCAAAUCCUAUAAAACGGCUCCACC